rnacentral:misc_RNA from 1 species
GAUGAAGAACGCAGCGAAAUGCGAUACUUGGUGUGAAUUGCAGAAUCCCGUGAACCAUCGAGUCUUUGAACGCAAGUUGCGCCCGAAGCCAUUAGGCCGAGGGCACGCCUGCCUGGGCGUCACACGUCGUUGCCCCCCCAUCUAAUCCUUCGGGAUUGCGGGGGGCGGAUGAUGGCCUCCCGUGCGCCUCGUCGCGCGGUUGGCGUAAAUGCCAAGUCCUCGGCGACGCACGCCACGACAAUCGGUGGUUGCGAAACCUCGGUUGCCCGUUGUGUGCGGUCGUCGCGCAUCGAGGGCUCGAAAAAAUUGCCGGGCUCCGGCUCGACUUUCAACGCGACCCCAGGUCAGGCGGGGUUACCCGCUGAAUUUAAGCAUAUCAAUAAGCGGAGGA